GACGUGGUGGCGGAGUGGCUGACGCUGCGGUCUGCAAAACCGUAUACACGGGUUCGAUUCCCGUCCACGUCU
rnacentral:tRNA from 1 species